UUAUGACGUCACUAAAUGUUUACGUUUAAAAAUCGCAUUUCUAUUAUUACGGUACGUUUGUAUUAAAGGUACCGUGCUAAAAGGAUUUCUGAAAUAUCCAGACAAAGCAGCACAAACCACGGUAUUUGACAUACCCCUCAUGGGGCACAGGCUGGGACGGUAGAAAACCCCAGAGAAUGGGUUACGUGAGGGGAUUCAAUCCUUGUACAGAAACACCCCGAGCGAGCCUCUACCAACUGAGGACUGACACUUUUGAGCGGUAGAAGAUUCAGUGUUUUCUUCGAACCAUUCAAGAUUGAAGUCAAUAUGUCGUUCAGCGUACCAAUAUCAAACCCAACUGAGGUUCAAGCACGCUGUCCUGAGCAUCUCAGCUAUCUGGAAUGUCUGUCCAGUUCGAUUCCAAAAGUACCUCACUGCCAAAGGACAAAUUGCCCAUAAUUGGAAUAUCAUUGCAACCGGAAGUAUGCAGUUGUGCGCUUUAAUCAUAUGGUGGUUACAAAAUCAAAAGUUGUCACCUUGGGCGAGGAUGAUCCAUAUAUUGGAAUCUCGUCCUGACAAUGUUGUUUACUCAAAAUGGAUGUCGUCGCAUUUGCUGUCGGAAAUAUAUUGCAGAUGAGAGAGCAUGAUUGCACGAGGUCAUAGCUUUGUCACAAUCUGGUGUCGUCUCUUCAGUCUGUUUAUCUAACAGUUCCUCUGUCUGUCUCUGUGUGUCUGCCUGUCUGUUUGUUUGUCUCUGUCUGUAUAUAUCUCACACACGUAACCACACGCAUAGGCUUUCUACCAGGUUAUGGUUUUAAAAUUGGACACUGCAUUUCAUGCACGUUGACAGUUUUUAAACAGCAGCUCUGUUACAACAAUGUAUCAACAAAUGAAAACAAAAUGUGUUCAUUAA